GAAGGGAAGCUCGUUGGUGGGGCUACAAGCUGAGUACAUUUAGUCACUUCACCCAGUGUCCCUUGGGAAGGUCUGAGACUAGGGCCAAAAGUGGCCCUAACAGAGCCCUCUCUGAACGGCAGGGAGGUGAGUUCUCAGAAUCGCAGGUGACAAACCUGGAUUGUGAUUCACAUCUGAAUUGUCAAGGGAUGGGGGACAGUCUUGUGAGACUGAGCCCUCAACCCAUGGGAUCUGACGCUAUCUGCAGACAGGUGGUGUCAGAACUGAGCUAACUGCCUGGUGAGUCCCCACCCCCCCCAAACACAUACUGGAAUGGGGUUCAGAACUUUUUCACUGUUAGUGCAAAAAAAGGGGAAACCCAAGGUCCCCUCCUGCUUC
ensembl:ribozyme RNaseP_nuc Nuclear RNase P